AGAAAGUUAGCUGUGAAAUGGAUUAUUGAAUUCAGAGUGAACAUGGUAUGUGUGUUUGCCAUUAUGGGAAAGGAAAGGUUAGUGCUGUGAGAAGCUUAUGAGUGGAAGAGUUUAAAUUGAUAGCUGGAUAUCUGGUGAUUGCAAUUGUGUGAUACCGAGUUGCAUUAAAUGAAUGAUUCUGGAAAACCUAUCAAAAAGUUCUUCUGUUUCUUUUAUUUUUA
rnacentral:misc_RNA from 1 species